rnacentral:rRNA from 1 species
GAUGAACGCUGGCGGCGUGCCUAAUACAUGCAAGUCGAGCGAACGGACAAGAAGCUUGCUUUUCUGAUGUUAGCGGCGGACGGGUGAGUACCACGUGGAUAACCUACCUAUAAGACUGGGAUAACUUCGGGAAACCGGAGCUAAUACCGGAUAAUAUUUUGAACCGCAUGGUUCAACAGUGAAAGACGGUCUUGCUGUCACUUAUAGAUGGAUCCGCGCUGCAUUAGCUAGUUGGUAAGGUAACGGCUUACCAAGGCAACGAUGCAUAGCCGACCUGAGAGGGUGAUCAGACACACUGGAACUGAGACACGGUACAGACUCCUACGGGAGGCAGCAGUAGGGAAUCUUCCGCAAUGGGCGAAAGCCUGACGGAGCAACGCCGCGUGAGUGAAGAAGGUCUUCGGAUCGUAAAACUCUGUUAGUAGGGAAGAACAGAUGUGUAAGUAACUGUGGACAUCUUGACGGUACCUAAUCAGAAAGCCACGGCUAACUUCGUG